GUCGAACGAACUCUGGUAUUGAUUGGUGCUUGCAUCAUGAUUUACAUUUGAGUGAGUGGCGAACUGGUGAGUAACACGUGGGAAACCUGCCCAGAAGCGGGGGAUAACACCUGGAAACAGAUGCUAAUACCGCAUAACAACUUGGACCGCAUGGUCCGAGUUUGAAAGAUGGCUUCGGCUAUCACUUUUGGAUGGUCCCGCGGCGUAUUAGCUAGAUGGUGGGGUAACGGCUCACCAUGGCAAUGAUACGUAGCCGACCUGAGAGGGUAAUCGGCCACAUUGGGACUGAGACACGGCCCAAACUCCUACGGGAGGCAGCAGUAGGGAAUCUUCCACAAUGGACGAAAGUCUGAUGGAGCAACGCCGCGUGAGUGAAGAAGGGUUUCGGCUCGUAAAACUCUGUUGUUAAAGAAGAACAUAUCUGAGAGUAACUGUUCAGGUAUUGACGGUAUUUAACCAGAAAGCCACGGCUAACUACGUGCCAGCAGCCGCGGUAAUACGUAGGUGGCAAGCGUUGUCCGGAUUUAUUGGGCGUAAAGCGAGCGCAGGCGGUUUUUUAAGUCUGAUGUGAAAGCCUUCGGCUCAACCGAAGAAGUGCAUCGGAAACUGGGAAACUUGAGUGCAGAAGAGGACAGUGGAACUCCAUGUGUAGCGGUGAAAUGCGUAGAUAUAUGGAAGAACACCAGUGGCGAAGGCGGCUGUCUGGUCUGUAACUGACGCUGAGGCUCGAAAGUAUGGGUAGCAAACAGGAUUAGAUACCCUGGUAGUCCAUACCGUAAACGAUGAAUGCUAAGUGUUGGAGGGUUUCCGCCCUUCAGUGCUGCAGCUAACGCAUUAAGCAUUCCGCCUG
rnacentral:rRNA from 1 species